AGCUGUUUACAUAUUUGACCACGAGGCACCUGCAGCUUUGGAGUGCCCUGCGUCCAAACCUCCCCUCUUCCUCCAGGGCUCAGUCACAGAUAUUAAUCAUCUUUCUGAAGUACAAUCUCCAUGGCCUGAACUUUUUUUGAAAAUCAUUUUGAGCAAAGUAUUUGUUUAAUAACAAGAUAACCACAUCAAGAUGGUUGGAAAACUGAAGCAGAAUUUACUAUUGGCGUGCCUGGUGAUCAGUUCUGUGACAGUAUUUUACUUGGGCCAGCAUGCCAUGGAAUGCCACCACCGAAUAGAGGAACGUAGCCAGCCAGCCAAAUUGGAGAGCACAAAAGCCACCAUGCGAACCAGCCUGGACCCUAAAGCCAAUAAAACCUUUGCCUAUCACAAAGAUAUGCCUUUGAUAUUCAUUGGUGGUGUGCCUCGGAGUGGGACCACACUCAUGAGGGCCAUGCUGGACGCACACCCUGACAUUCGCUGUGGAGAGGAGACCAGGGUCAUUCCUCGGAUCCUGGCCCUGAAGCAGAUGUGGUCACGUUCCAGUAAAGAGAAGAUCCGCUUGGACGAGGCUGGUGUCACUGAUGAAGUGCUGGACUCUGCCAUGCAAGCCUUCUUACUAGAAAUCAUCGUGAAGCAUGGGGAGCCAGCCCCGUACUUAUGUAACAAAGAUCCCUUUGCCCUGAAAUCCUUAACUUACCUUGCCAGGUUGUUCCCCAAUGCCAAAUUUCUCCUGAUGGUUCGAGAUGGCCGGGCAUCAGUGCAUUCAAUGAUUUCUCGGAAAGUUACUAUAGCUGGGUUUGACCUGAACAGCUACAGGGACUGUUUGGCCAAAUGGAAUCGUGCCAUAGAGACGAUGUACAACCAGUGCAUGGAGGUCGGUUACAAAAAGUGCAUGUUGGUCCACUACGAGCAGCUCGUCCUCCAUCCUGAGCGGUGGAUGAGGACCCUGUUGAAGUUUCUCCAUGUCCCAUGGAACUACUCAGUGCUACACCAUGAGGAGAUGAUCGGGAAGGCCGGGGGAGUGUCGCUGUCAAAAGUGGAGAGAUCUACAGACCAAGUCAUCAAGCCAGUCAAUGUGGGAGCUCUGUCAAAAUGGGUGGGGAAGAUCCCUCCAGAUGUCUUACAAGAUAUGGCAGCGAUUGCACCCAUGCUUGCCAAAUUGGGGUAUGACCCUUAUGCCAACCCACCCAACUACGGGAAGCCGGACCCCCGGAUCCUCGAGAACACCAGAAGGGUCUAAAAGCAGUGGAGCCAGCUGACCCUGGACUACUAAGACUUCUGAAACCACGAGCAGAACAGGUCCUUCCUCCUCCAUGUGGAUUUUCUCAGGUCUACAAAGGAGAAUUCCAGCUACCUGACUUUCUGAAGGAAAAACCCCAGACGGAGCCUAUGGAGUAGCAGGGCCUGGAACCUCCUUCACACCUCGAGGGAGCUGCGGAGCCCAGCGGAGCCCAGACGGCUGGCCAUCUCCUGUGCACUCCAGCCCCUCCUGCCAAGGACGGGUGUCCGCUCCUAUGAUAAGGAGCCAGGGGACAGUGCCCUCAGUUAGCCCUACUCUUGUCCUCAUCUUUUCUUAACAAAUUCCAAACUUCGAUUUCAAGGGGAGGGUUUAAAAAUGGUAUUCUGUAAGCAAAAUGGGCAUUUUCAUUUUGGGAUAGGUUAUCUGUACUUGGUCCAAUGUUUCGUAGAACACUUGUGCCUGUUAAAUGUAUUGAUGUGGAUAAUAUUAAAUAUCUUAAUUAUUUAAGUAAUUCAUUGUAUUGUUUCUGAGAAGUUGGGAAAUUACCGUAUACAUUUACAACUUAAUGACUUUUGUAUUUUAUUUUUCAAAAUAAAAGCUUUGAAUGUGGAGCA